rnacentral:rRNA from 1 species
GAUGAACGCUGGCGGCGUGCCUAAUACAUGCAAGUCGAGCGAACGGCCGAAAAGCUUGCUUCUCUGAUGUUAGCGGCGGACGGGUGAGUAACACGUAGAUAACCUACCUAUAAGACUGGGCUACCUUCGGGAAACCGGAGCUAAUACCGGAUAAUCAUUUCAACCGCAUGGUUCAAAAGUGAAUGACGGUCUUGCUGUCACUUAUAGAUGGAUCCGCGCUGCAUUAGCUAGUUGGUAAGGUAACGGCUUACCAAGGCAACGAUGCAUAGCCGACCUGAGAGGGUAAUCGGCCACACCGGAACCGAGACACGGUCCAGACUCCUACGGGAGGCAGCAGUAGGGAAACGUCCGUAAUGGGCGAAAGCCUGACGGAGCAACGCCGCGUGAGUGAUGAAGGUCUGCGGAUCGUAAAACUCUGUUAUUAGGGAAGAACAUAUGUGUAAGUAACUGUUCACAUCUUGACGGUACCUAAUCAGAAAGCCACGGCUAACUACGUG